rnacentral:rRNA from 1 species
GGUACCAUUCAAGAAAGCCACGGCUAACUACGUGCCAGCAGCCGCGGUAAUACGUAGGUGGCGAGCGUUAUCCGGAUUUAUUGGGCGUAAAGGGUGCGCAGACGGUUUAUUAAGUCUAAAAUCAAAUCUUGGGGCUCAACCCCAUUCCGUUUUAGAAACUGGUAGACUUGAGUAUGGUAGAGGCAAAUGGAAUUCCUAGUGUAGCGGUGGAAUGCGUAGAUAUUAGGAGGAACACCAGUGGCGAAGGCGAUUUGCUGGGCCAUUACUGACGUUCAGGCACGAAAGCGUGGGGAGCAAAUAGGAUUAGAUACCCUAGUAGUCCACGCCGUAAACGAUGAGUACUAAGUGUCGGGUUACCGGUGCUGAAGUUAACACAUUAAGUACUCCGCCUGAGUA